UACGUAGGGGGCAAGCGUUGUCCGGAUUUAUUGGGCGUAAAGAGCGUGUAGGCGGCCAUACAGGUCCGUUGUGAAAACUCGAGGCUCAACCUCGAGACGUCGAUGGAAACCGUAUGGCUAGAGUCCGGAAGAGGAGAGUGGGAUUCCUGGUGUAGCGGUGAAAUGCGCAGAUAUCAGGAAGAACACCCGUGGCGAAGGCGGCUCUCUGGGACGGUACUGACGCUGAGACGCGAAAGCGUGGGGAGCGAACAGG
rnacentral:rRNA from 1 species